rnacentral:SRP_RNA from 14 species
GCCGGGCGCGGUGGCUCACGCCUGUAAUCCCAGCACUUUGGGAGGCCGAGGCGGGCGGAUCACGAGGUCAGGAGAUCGAGACCAUCCUGGCUAACACGGUGAAACCCCGUCUCUACUA